ensembl:misc_RNA Metazoa_SRP Metazoan signal recognition particle RNA
AUAGCUGGGCACCACUGUAGUCCCAGUUACUCAGGAGAUUGAGGCAAGAGAAUAGCUGAGCCCAGGCAUUCUCGGUUGUAAUGCACUAUACUAACUGGGUAUCCACACUAAGUUCAGCAUUAAUAUGGUAAUCUCCCAGGAGCGGGGAACCAACAGGUUGCCUAAGGAGGAGUGAACUGGCCCAGGUUGGAAAAAGAGCCAGUCAAAACUCCCGUGUUGAUCAGCAAGGAGAUUGCACCUGUAAAUAGCCACUGCACUAUGAUCUGUUGUCUACAAUAAGCACACUUCA